GUGGGGAAUAUUGCGCAAUGGGGGAAACCCUGACGCAGCAACGCCGCGUGAGCGAAGAAGGUUUUCGGAUUGUAAAGCUCUGUCUUUAGGGACGAUAAUGACGGUACCUAAGGAGGAAGCCCCGGCUAACUACGUGCCAGCAGCCGCGGUAAUACGUAGGGGGCAAGCGUUGUCCGGAUUCACUGGGCGUAAAGAGCACGUAGGCGGUUAAUUAAGUCAGGUGUGAAAGUUUUCGGCUCAACCGGAAAAGUGCACUUGAAACUGGAUAACUUGAGUAUCGGAGAGGUAAGCGGAAUUCCUAGUGUAGCGGUGAAAUGCGUAGAGAUUAGGAAGAACACCGGUGGCGAAGGCGGCUUACUGGACGAUAACUGACGCUGAGGUGCGAAAGCGUGGGGAGCGAACAGGAUUAGAUACCCGUGUAGUCC
rnacentral:rRNA from 1 species